AAUAGAUACCCUGGUAGUCCACGCCGUAAACGAUGGAUACUAGCUGUUGGAGGUAUCGACCCCUUCAGUAGCGAAGCUAACGCGUUAAGUAUCCCGCCUGUGGAGUACGAUCGCAAGAUUAAAACAUAAAGGAAUUGACGGGGACCCGCACAAGCGGUGGAGCGUGUUCUUUAAUUCGAUGAUAAACAAAGAACCUUACCAGGGCUUGACAUCCCGAGAAUUACUCCGAAAGGAGUGAGUGCUUUAUUGAACUCGGUGACAGGUGCUGCAUGGCCGUCGUCAGCUCGUGUCGUGAGAUGUUUGGUUAAGUCCAUUAACGAGCGCAACCCUUAUGAAUAGUUGAAUUUUUCUAUUUAGACUGCCCCGGCAACGGGGAGGAAGGAGGGGAUGAUGUCAGGUCAGUAUUGCCCUUACGCCCUGGGCCAGAAACGCGCUACAAUGGCCAGUACAAUGCGCAGCCAACCCGCGAGGGGGAGCAAAUCGCAUCAAAGCUGGUCCCAGUUCGGAUAAGAGGCUGAAACUCGCCUCUUUGAAGUCGGAAUCG
rnacentral:rRNA from 1 species